UUUACCUUUAUUGUACAUAGUCCUGCUAUCUGCAGCUGGAUCUCUGUUGAGUGUAGCUGCAUUCAUGAUGUGCUGCAUCUGCAAGAAAUAUAGACAAACAGUUGAGAUCCAGGAGGAAGACAGAACUGAUUCAGCAUUGCGUAAACCAAAAACAAGAAAAACGAAAUCAAAGGUGGAUCAUGUGUAUGAAAACAUACCCAAAAAGCGAUGAUCAAAUAGGCCGACUAUCUCCUUCAGACAAUUCUAGAGGACAAUACCGAAGAAUGUAUUAUUUUCUUAGAUAUCCCUGUUUUGUUUUCACUCUUUGUAUGAUAUCUUUGUAGUUAUUAUGUCAAAUAAAACAGAUUUUAUUUAGUUGCAUAGCCUACAGAAAUUUGCCUGAUUAUAAUUAAUAAAUAUCAUAUUAUUCCUACCCUCA